rnacentral:lncRNA from 1 species
GUAGCUAGGAGUACUAGCUAGCUAGCUACGUGACAGUGUUCUUCUGUGAGUUAAUUCCCAGAUUAGGUCUGGAGUACCGUGUGCUCAGUUCAGUGUGUCUGUUUUUGAUCGAUCAGUCAUAUGAGUGUGUAGUGUAAGGAUCGUUCAAUGGUGCUGUGGCUGUCGUCGUUCUAAUGAUAAAUUAAGUAAUUAUAUUAGUAAUUACGAGCACCUCUAGUGCCACGGUGUUUGAUUGAGAUAUUUUUUAUCUUCUUUGCAACUGUUCUUAUGCGUAAUGCACAGGCUAAAGCCAGUGAUGGCCAGUACCGCGUACAGACGUACUGCAAGACAAACGCAAUGCUGAAUUGCUGAUGCAUUCAUCUGCCGUAGCUAGCUCGUGGCCGCGCGGGGGAUACGGAAUUACGGAGCCGACGCGCGUGCAUGGCUUGAUUUAUAUCGCUACAGGAAACGGCGCAGAGCUUUUAAUCACUGCCGCCGUGUCUACAGUACGUAGCUCCGCGGCAUCGUCCGGUGAAUUUGCUACGGUGCUUGGGUUUUUCUAUUUGAUCUCUGCGGAGGCCACGGGCGGUGCUGUGGUUCUCUUGGAACUUGGUGGAACGGGAGCCUGGCCAGCUGGACAACUAACGAGGAAAUGCUACAAAUUCAUUUAUUUGUAGUAAGAAAGAAUUAAUAGGGAAAUGAGACAUAAAUAUCAAAAGCAGCCCCCGUAGCUCAGUUGGUUAGAGCGUUGGUCUUAUGAGCCGAAGGUCGCGGGUUUGAGCCCCGCCGGGAGCACCUUUUAUAUUUUUGGCUGCACUUUUCACCACUUACAUAAAACUUCCACAUGCCUCCUUUUGUAUAUAUCAACACCUACAGUACUUUUCAUCGUGUGUACUUUCACACUCUUCUUUUUUGUGAGAAAUGCUAUCUGGGGAUUAGAAUCAUCACCAAUCACAUGAGCUAGUUCUCUCGCGUCUCGCGGCAAAUUUCUCGGCUAACAUCGAAUCGUGUUGUUGAGAUUAACCCACAAGAUCGAAGCCAUGGUAGAUUAUUUUGAUUGCGACAACUUUAAACUAAUUGAACGAGCUAGUUCCUCGUGCUUUGUUGAGAUCGACCCCCAGGCCUAGGGAUUAGAGUCAUCAUCAAUCACAUGAGCUAGUUCUUGGCGGCAAAUUUCUCGACUAACAUCUCCAGGGUGAAAACCUAUGAUCUUUGAUCGGGGGGCAACGGCAACGCUUGUGCAUUUUUGGCUGCACUUUUCACCACUUACAUAAAACUUCCACAUGCCUCCUUUUGUAUAUAUCAACACCUACAGUACUUUUCAUCGUGUGUACUUUCACACUCUUCUUUUUUGUGAGAAAUGCUAUCUGGGGAUUAGAAUCAUCACCAAUCACAUGAGCUAGUUCUCUCGCGUCUCGCGGCAAAUUUCUCGGCUAACAUCGAAUCGUGUUGUUGAGAUUAACCCACAAGAUCGAAGCCAUGGUAGAUUAUUUUGAUUGCGACAACUUUAAACUAAUUGAACGAGCUAGUUCCUCGUGCUUUGUUGAGAUCGACCCCCCAGGCCUAGGGAUUAGAGUCAUCAUCAAUCACAUGAGCUAGUUCUUGGCGGCAAAUUUCUCGACUAACAUCUCCAGGGUGAAAACCUAUGAUCUUUGAUCGGGGGGCAACGGCAACGCUUGUGCAUUUUUGGCUGCACUUUUCACCACUUACAUAAAACUUCCACAUGCCUCCUUUUGUAUAUAUCAACACCUACAGUACUUUUCAUCGUGUGUACUUUCACACUCUUCUUUUUUGUGAGAAAUGCUAUCUGGGGAUUAGAAUCAUCACCAAUCACAUGAGCUAGUUCUCUCGCGUCUCGCGGCAAAUUUCUCGGCUAACAUCGAAUCGUGUUGUUGAGAUUAACCCACAAGAUCGAAGCCAUGGUAGAUUAUUUUGAUUGCGACAACUUUAAACUAAUUGAACGAGCUAGUUCCUCGUGCUUUGUUGAGAUCGACCCCCAGGCCUAGGGAUUAGAGUCAUCAUCAAUCACAUGAGCUAGUUCUUGGCGGCAAAUUUCUCGACUAACAUCUCCAGGGUGAAAACCUAUGAUCUUUGAUCGGGGGGCAACGGCAACGCUUGUGCAUUGUUUCCUUUCUGUAGGCAUUGCUUUUGGAGAACCUUCUUUGUAGUCCGGGUGUUAUCUUUGGUGGCGGUUAGAGUGCUGCUACUGCGGGUGAUUGAUCACUGGGGCAGGGUCUUUUUUCUUUUCUUUAUUUUUCUUUUUAUUUUAUUUUCUGGCUGUAUCUUUGAUCGGGCAAUGACCACGCUUGUGCAUUGUUUCCUUCCUGUAGGCGUUGCUUUUGGAGAACCUUCUUUAUAGUCCGGGUGUUGUCUUUGGUGGUGGUUAGAGUGCUGCUACCGCGGGUGAUUGAUCACCGGGGCAGGGUCUUUUUUUAUUUUUUAUUUAUUUAUUUUUCUGGCUGUGUGCAUUCUGGAUGUUGGUGCAGAGACUGGGUGUAAUUGAUAUCUAUUUGAUAUUAAUAUAUUCCUCUUUUAAAAAAACAACGAAUGCAUUGUUGAGAUUAACCCACAAGAUCGAAACCAUGGUAUAUUAUUUUUAUUGCUACGACUUUAACUAAUCUCACGAGCUAGAUCCUCGUGCUUUGUUGAGAUCGACCCCAAGAUCAAGGCCAUGGCUAGUUUUAUUUUGAGCGCGGCGACUUUAACCAGUGAAAUAUAACUUUCCCCAGUCACACUCGAGGGCAACGGGAAGCUCGAUCAAAUGAAGUGCAACAUGAAGUCCUUACUUGCGUGCAUCUAAUUUCGCCUCAAGUGGAGGAGACUAGUAUAGAAUCAUCCCUCUAGGCGAGAUCAUAGGAUCAACCCAAAAAUUUCAAAUUUAAACAAUCCAAAAAAUCCUGAAAAUAAUUUACAACAUACCUGCGGGUUAUGGCUAUAAUUCCAAAAAAAAUCAGCUUAAAACUCGAUUACAAUUAGAGAUUCGAAAAAGACAAAUUCAACUAUGAAUAGUGUCAGCUUUGAGUUAAUAGCUUUUGACAUUAUUCACGUCUGACUUUUUUUCUUUUUUGAUCCUUUAAAUGUAGUUUGAAUUAGGAGCUGAAACCUUUUGAGCUUGUACAUCAAAGAUGGAUGGGUGUCUCUUAUUUUUUUAAUAAUUUUUAACAUGUUCUGUAUCUUUAAAAGAUUGAUCUCACCUAAGGACAAAUCUUAUACUAAUCUUGCCUAAAUUAAGUCUGGAAAAUGUUUACCAUGCAUUGAUGACCAAGAUUAGUAUAUGGGGCUGUUCGGUUUGAGACUAAAUUUGCAUAAGGUUGCCACGUCUAAGGUUAGACAAGUUUAAUCAAGGUGUGUGUUUGGUUCAAGCCAUAUCUUAGUCAAACCACAUUAGGGUCCCACAUUACAUACACUCAAAAAGUGUGGCAAUAUUCUCUUAGCCUCGCCAACUUGUGGCUCUCAAUUGAGGGGCAGUUUCGUAACUUGAGAUAGAUAGAGAGAGAGAGAAGUGUGAGCUCUGAAGAAGAGCUGCAGAGCAGACAGACCAUCAGCGAGAGUCAAUGGGCACUUGUGUGAGCACAUGCUACCCCUCGUCCUCCCCUCCCACCGCCGGUGACGACCACCCAUUGUCCACGUCCGGCGGCUCUCCGACUCUGGGCGCCACCACUGUGCACCCGCUCCCGCUCGCUUCCGGUUCUCCCGCGCCCGCCGCUUCCUCCACAUCAACCUCCUCCUCCUUCUCCUCGAUAUCGGCCGCAAGCUCAUCCAUCUCCAUGGACAACACCACCACCACCACCUCCUCCUCCUCCUCGGCUACCACUAGUUAUUCCUCGCCGUCGUUGUCGUCGGAGCCCCGCUUCUCGGCCGAGUUCCUCAAGGCGCUUGCUUGCAGGGACACGGACGUGGAGAUGGAGGUCGUGGUGCUCGACCCCAACAUCAACAGCAACGUAAAGAAGAGGAAGAAGCUCUCCCCUGCCUCCGCCGCUCCGCGUCCGUCCUCGCCAAGAACGCCUCCAGCUCUGUCCGUGGUCAAGUCACCAAGGAAGAACAAGCCUGUCAUUGGCAACAUCAACGGCCGCCGCGCAAGCACAACUCCGACGACGGCAGCGAGGCGCGUGCGGCCGCUUCCCCCUCGGGUGCCGCCUGCGGGGGCAGGAGGCUCGGCGUCGGCGUCCUGCGGGAGGAAGAGGCCUUCUUCGCCUUCGUGCCGAUCGGCGGAUUCAGCUGGGAGGAGGAAGUGCGCCAGGCCAACGGCGGCCGGCGGCGGCGGUGGCGGAGAAUUGGUAGAUGACCUCAACACCCCCGUCAUAUCCAUGGAUUGCUUCAUCUUCCUCUGAUCCCAUCUCAUCUCGCACCAUGCAUCUACUAUGAUUGUGCUAAAUGUGUGUCCAUUCAUUUUGUUUUCCUUUCCUUUGGUGUGCUUUUUACAUGUACAUUAGUAGUAACAUGUCUUAUUGUGGUUUGCUGUCACCUAGAGUAUAUGUGUGUAAUUAAUUAGUAGAAUUGUUCUUCCUAUAUCUCUAAACAUGAUUGAUUGAUUGAUAAUGUUGUCUCCUCGUCUUUUUUCCAGUUCCAUUCUGCUCUCCCUGUCGGGAAAUGUUCUCUUCAAGCCAGACUUUACUAGUAGUUGCUCAUAGUCCAUCUAGAUUAUUUGAUUUGAUGCAGAAAAAGAACCCAAAAAUCGAGCUGGCUAUUGUAGAACAAGCAGGCAACUAACACCUGAGAGAUUUUCUUUAUGCAGAGAAACAAAAAGCAUAGCACAUGACAACUUGAUGCCAGAUAGAACUAAAAAAACAAACUGAUUAUUUGGACAAACAAUGAAAUCAAAUGUACUGUCAUCUCUUACUCACAUCAAUUUUGGAGAAACAAUGAAAGCAAAUGACUCCAGUUCAAAUUCAUGGACUUGUAUGAAAAAGGAUGUCAUAAACCGAUGACAACAACACAAGAUUAGCAAAAAUGAUGCUAGAACCACAAUGGUCAUCUUCGAUCACUUCGAUAAUUUUGUUGGAAACAACAUUCAACCAGCAUCCAUAGUGUUCCAUACAUUCAUCCAUAACAGAAAAUAGAAGCCUAACCAACAGACGUUGGAUGCAGCCACUUACUGCCGCAAUAGAGUUCGACAGAAAAAAAAAAUCGCAAUCAAAUUCAACAAAUAUAUUAGCUAUUUUGGCUGGUCAUGAGCUAGCGGCCGCCAAGAGUUCAUCCCGGCCUUUGCAUACUAGGAUGCACAUAGCCAAAAUGAGCAAUAAUUCAGCAUGUCGCUUCCGUGGACGACGACUCGACGAUCACCGUCAGCUUUUCAUCAUCCAAAUCAUGUUGCUUGCGCGGCGGCCGUUGAUGUUGCCAAUGCCAGGCUUGUUCUUCCUUGGUGACUUGCCCACGGACAGAGCUGGAGGCGUUCUUGGCGAGGACGGACGCGGAGCGGCGGAGGCAGGGGAGAGCUUCUUCCUCUUCUUUCCAUUGCUGCUGAUGUUGGGGUCGAGCACCACGACCUCCAUCUCCACGUCUGUGUCCUUGCAAGCGCGCGCCUUGAGGAACUCGGCCGAGAAGCGGGGCUCCGACGACAACGACGGCGAGGAAUAACUAGUGGUAGCCGAGGAGGAGGAGGUGGUGGUGGUGGUGUUGGCCAUGGAGAUGGAUGAGCUUGCGGCCGACAUCGAGGAGAAGGAGGAGGAGGAGGUUGAUGUGGAGGAAGCGGCGGGCGCGGGAGAACCGGAAGCGAGCGGGAGCGGAUGCACGGUGGUGGCGCCCGGAGUCGGAGAGCCGCCGGACGAGGACAAUGGGUGGUCGUCGCCGGCGGUGGGUGGGGAGGACGAGCAGGGGUAGCAUGUGCUCACACAAGUGCCCAUUGACUCUCGUUGAUGGUCUGUCUACUCUGCAGCUCUUCUUCAGAGCUCACACUUCUCUCUCUCUCUCUCUCUCUCUCUCUCUCUCUCUCAUUUCAUCACACAAGUGUCUCUUAGCCCGCGCUUCCCGAGGUCCAACUUUGACCAUAAAUUUAACCAACGAGACCAACUACGGCUGGAGAAAAAAUUAUAUAAUUGAAAACUUCUUUCGAAUACGAAUUCACUGAUAUAAUUUUUGCUCCCGGCGCAAUCGGUCUUGGUAGUUAAACUUAUGGUCAAAGUUGAAGCACGAGGAUAGAGGAAGCACUACAUUGUGGAAUGGAGGGAGUACUAAGUUGUACUAAAGUUUAGACAGUUAUUUUUGGACGAAGGGAGUAAUAUACAUCAGAGAUAACUUGACAUAUAUUUUGGAAUGCUUACCAACAAGGACAUAAAAGAUAACUUGCAUGAGACUUCUUGAUCUGCUUGCAGUGCAUCAUCAGCAUGAGCCAUAUCUGCAAGGUUCAUGACCAUAUUUUCAGCCAUCAACAUAUCCUGAUUAUUUGACAUUCCGUCCAUGCCUUCCAGGAUGUCCUCAGCAGCUCUCUUGGUCAAUAUGAGUGGGUGAUUACAUAUUUUCUUCAAUACCUGUUUAAGAGAAGGAAAAACAUGAAACAAGCAUAAAUGCACCAAAGAACGUGCACAAAAAGAAGAUAAAUUAAGGCGAUAAAAUUACAAUUGCUGCCUCCCAUACAAAAUAUAAUCCCUCCAUUUCAUUUUAUAUGGUGUAUUUUUGUUUAGUUCGGAGCCAAUGAAAAUGAUUAAUACUAAGAGAAAACUAUUGUCUUGGGAAUAACAAAGAAUAGUUAGUCAGUAUGCAAGUUUAAUAAUAAAUGAUGAAGAGAGUAUACGACGAGCACACCUGACGAGAACUAAAGGGCUACAUGUGAACAACAAGAUAACAAAAGGUAGAAAAAAAGGUGUACAGAAAAGGCUUUGAAGCUUAUGCUUACCAUGAGAGCAGCCAAGGGAUUUCCUUGAGAUGCUAAAUGAACUAGCUCAGAGUUCAGAAAUGCUUUAUAUAGUUGCCUCUGCGCCAAAAGACAGACAAAUUGCAAAAUCAUCAUUUGCCAAUUACUCGACCAGUUUUGCGUCAAUGACAUAAAAAAUUAUACCUGGCAAUCUGUUAAUUUCAGCCAGAUAAUUAGCUCAUUCUUCUUCGGAAGCUGUUUAUCAUCUGUCAAACCAGUCUCAAGAGACACUUCAUUUUUCAUACGUCGCAAGAAAUAUGGCUUUAUACGUUCCCUUAAUUCCUGUGAACAAAGUCAAGUAUGAACAAACAAUAUAAUUUGUUUAGUUCAUUUGGCUCCAAGUUUUCAUCCGAAAGGAUGAGUAAACAUUUCCACAAUGUAAUGCGACAAAUUUAGACGGCUUAAUCUAUCUUGCUUGCCCUCUCAUGGGUCAACUAGAAGUGGACAUGCGCUUAUAUGAAAUUUGAAUGCAGUUCAGUUAUGCAACUGCUUUCACAUGUCAAAUCAGGUGAAAUUACUACUUAGCUAAUGUAUGGAUGAAAAUGUAAUUUCUCAACAGAAUCAUAAUGACAAGAAGUAAUGCCAUUGCACAUAUUGCAAUAUAUCAAACAUGAUGACUGUUUACAGCACAGAGACACUAACUUGCUCACCACAAUAACAACAACAAAUAGGUUGGAUAUUACAUAUCUCUUGGACACAAACGCAGAAAAAAGAAAGGUACCUUUGCUACAUUUGAGCCUACAUGCUUGGCUCGGUUGCUAGCAGUCUUGUCAUUUCCUCGAUUGAUAGGCAAUUCAUACAAUGUUCUGAACCUGCCAAAAUGUAGACAGAUAAAUAAGUUAAAUAACACCAGAUGGUGCAAAGCAAGGCAGUAUCACUAAUGCAGGAAAAUAGGAGAGUGGGCAAAUUACUCUUGCUUAUCACCCAAGACUUCCGGGCAACAAAAAGAGAACAGAGCCCACAUUUCCUGCAAGAGUACGCAUGCUUAUUUGCAUUGGUAAUAGGAGGACAACAUAUAUAGGAGCAUGUAAAGUACAAGUUCUUUAGGAAUUUCAGCUAGGUGGUACCUUCAAGUUAUUUUGUAUAGGCGUUCCACUGAUGGCAAUCCGAUGGACACAAGGUAUUUCAAAUAGGCUUUGGGCUCUUUGUGUCUUGGGGUUCUUGAUAAAAUGUGCCUCGUCAAGAACAACAUAAUUCCAAAUCUUCCCCUCUUCCUCGUCAUCAGCAUCAUUAUAGAAGUCUCCUAUUAUCAGCCUAUAGUUGAUCCGGGCAAUAUCAUACGUUGUCAACAGGAUACCCCCUUCCUGUAAGAAGACAGUAAAUAGCUGAUGUAACUCAUAAAAUAUCUUGAAAGAACAAGCUAUUAGCUAUGUAUUCCUUUAAAUGAAGCUUUUUAUGCGAAAAUGUUUCUCUGUUUGAAAUUGACGGUUCGGAUAAUAAGGCGACCAUAUGAUUGACCAGCAGGGGACAAUUAUGCUGGAAAACUAAAUCAAACCAAACCUUGAAGGCAUGUUCAAGCUCAAAGUCACGGGCAUCUAGGUUGGAAUCAGAGUAGCUGUAAAAAAAGAAGAAGGAACUAAUAAUAUACUGUCCAAUCUUUGGGAAAUAUGUGAUAGCUCCCGGGACUCCCGACACCCUCUUAUCAGGCCCGUCGAGUUCUGUUGAGAUUCGUGCUUCAGUCUGACCAUCAGCAGACGAUUUGCAGAAUAAGCAAGCUGUGGCAGCAGACUCAUUUAGCAGCGGUGCGGGUGCGUGCUAGCCUGCUAGGAUACAGGGAGCUGUAGGUACAGGUACUAGCUAGCUUUUUCUAGGGAUACAGGCCCAGGUACCUACUUCUGACCAGCCUAUUUUCUAAUGAGAGAAAGAGGUGACGAGUCUAUUUCGAAUGACAGCUCGUUCAGAUGAGGCUUAUCCUGUACGCCUGGUUCUGUAAGAUUUGAGAAAAGUCACACCGGCUUAGAAUUUACAGUUAGAGAACAAGACCAAUUUAUCCCUCGUAAAAGAAAAGAGAAUUGAUUGGACGUGUGGGAUAGGUGAUCCAGAAAAAUGAAUCCAUCAAAUUCAGACUGAUCCCAAACGGAGAGGACCGCUUCGAGCUUCAUGAUCAUGAGAGACUCUGACCUGUGAGGUCCUUUCGCUUAUUUGAAUCACGGGCUAUGGCCAGGAAGUGACAGGUCCUGGUGGCUGGUGGAAUCUGCCUAUAAACAACAGUGCCCUAGCUAGGAGUCCCAUCUCUAGCCGAUGGAAUCUGCCUGCAAUCAAUAAUUCCAGGCUCCCCGCUUAACGAUUUUCUAGGCCCGCUAAUCAAACUGUGGUACAUGCAAUGGUGCAGAUCUCAACGAGCUGGGCUUUGCAUGAUGGUCGCGAUAGCAGGGUACCGGGGCACCCAGGUGCUGAACAUCCAUUCUCUCCAAUCUUUCUAUAUAUGCUUAAAAGUUAGGCAAUCUAGAUGAGAACAUAGGAAGCUGUGGAGCAUUACAGUACCAUUCCAAGUUAAAAUAUAUCCUUGUGUCAGAUGACAUAUACUAAUUGGUUUCAGUCCCUUAAAUGCAGAAACUAAAGAUGCAGCUCUUUUCAGAGUAAUUUCUGCAGUCUAACUAGCAGCAGCAAAUAUCCACAAGAAUCUUCUAAUCUAAUAGUAAGAGAGCCAUAAGCGAUUGAAACAAGUAGGGCAAAGGCUCCCCUGAUCCUUCCUAACACUAAGCAGGAGUACAAUUAAGGGUGAAACAGAGCCAAUGAUGGUGAGAUUGAUACAAGUUAUAAUCGACUAAUUAACUGAUAAUUGCUUCAAGGAGGAAAAUGUAUCAAUGUCAAAGGGUUAGAGGGAGGGACCUGCAUCGUCUUGCCAAGUCCCAUGUCGUCCCCCAGGAUUCCACCGGUUUCCCUGCAAUGCAGAGACCAGAGCCAGCUGAGCCCCUCACGCUGGUCGGCGUACAACAUCUUGAACACCCUUGCAGGGAGCCUGUACGGCGGCUUGCCGCUCCCGGCGGGGGCCUCCAUCUGGAAGUCAUCCUCCUCCUACUCCUCUAUGUCAGUGUCGUGCUGGUCUUCCUCCUCCUCCUCCUCCCACUCCUCCAUGUCAGUGUCGUGGUGGUCUUCCUCCUCCUCCGCCUCCUCCCACUCCUCCGUGUCGGUGCCGCGGUGGUCUUCCUCCUCCUGGUCCGUUGCGUCCUUGUCGUCUCCGCAGUCCAGAAAUACCCCGCUGGGCUCCUCCGUCUCCCAGCUGGCAGCGUCGGGCUGGUCGUCGUCGUCCCCGGAGAUGUCGCCGAGCUUGCACAGGCACCAGCGGCCCGGCAGCCUCACCUUCCUCGUGCCCAUCUGCUCAGGGCCUGCGUGCACGGAAGGCGGCCGAGUUAUCAGGCACCGAUGGAUGGAUGAAUGGAUGAAACGAUCGACCCGGCGGGCCGCGCAACGAUCGAUUGACAGGUAGUAGUUCGACGGCGACGUACGGUACCUGCUGGGUCGUGGAGGUCGUCGUCCAAAGGAUGGUCCGAGCACGGCGAGGGCGGCGCCGGCGCCAUGGGCGGUGUUGAUGGGGUCGGUUACGUUGCGUCUCUCCUUUCCGCGCUGCGCUGGAGGCGUUGAGGAAGGGGGAGGGGGGAAGGCGGUGCGAGGAGUGAGUUUCGUGAGACGGCGUGAGGCCUGCCGAGCCAAUAUGAAGAGGAGAGGGGAGGAGAGGAAGAGGAGCGCUGGGGACGGGAGGAAGUUAACGGAAGGAAGACGGAAGUUCGAAUCUUGAAUUUCAAAAUUCCCUCCUCUCCUCUCCUUCUCACGCAAGCCAAGCUGCGGCCGUGGCAAUGCCAGUGUGCCAGACUGCCAGCCUUGGGAACGAACGACGAUGCCUCUCCUCCCGUUACGUCCUGUCCCGUCAGGAGUGGCUUCAACGGAUUUGUUUGACUAGCUAGCUACUAGAAGGAGUAGUCUUGUGCAGUAACUACUCCUGCUGCGCAAAAGGAAAAUAUUUUUUAGAUUUUUAUUUUUGAGAGGAAAAUAUUUUUUUAGAUUGGAAAGUGUACAAAAAGUCAGCAAAGAUAUCAUGCAUGCAGACCUAGAUGCUAUUUAUCACCUCAAAGGGUUUCAAAAAGUAAUUUCGGGAUCCGCGUGAUGUACGAAAACUGCAAACAGAAGGGGUCCAAAAGGCAAAUUCAAAUUUGUAGAAACGUGGUCAAACAUUAUGAGUUUCAACAAACCUGUAGGUAUUAUAGGUGUGAUUAUACAUGUCCAAGAGUGAAGACCCGCCCCUUGUGGCAACUCGCCUCGGUGUCGUUCUUCCCCCUUGACCGAGCCCUUCUUCUCACGCUUCGGCUAAUCCACCCUCCCUCCCCUCCCUAUCUUCAGUGGACGAUGAUGAGCAGGAGGGCGGCCCAAAUCAUGUGCUAUAUGUACACUAUCAGGGUUCCUUUUCUUUUGAAUAAAUGUUUAUUAUUCAUGCUAGAAUUGUAUUAACCGGAAACAUAAUACAUGUGUGAAUACAUAGACAAACAAAAUAUUUUCCUCUACUUGACUAGCUCGUUGAUCAAAGAUGGUUAUGUUUUCUAACCAUGGACAUGAGUUGUCAUUUGAUAAACGGGAUCACAUCAUUAGGAGAAUGAUGUGAUUGACUUGACCCAUUCCGUUAGCUUAGCACUUGAUCAUUUUAGUUUACUGCUAUUGCUUUCUUCAUGACUUAUACAUGUUCCUAUGACUAUGAGAUUAUGCAACUCCCGAUUACCGGAGGAACACUUUGUGUGCUACCAAACAUCACAACGUAACUAGGUGAUUAUAAAUGUGCUCUACAGGUGUCUCCGAUGGUACUUGUUGAGUUGGCAUAGAUCGAGAUUAGGAUUUGUCACUCCGAUUGUCGGAGAGGUAUCUCUGGGCCCUCUCGGUAAUGCACAUCACUAUAAGCCUUGCAAGUAACGCAACUAAUGAGUUAGUUGCGGGAUAGUGCAUUACGGAACAAGCAAGAGACUUGCCGGUAACAAGAUUGAACUAGGUAUUGAGAUACCACGAUCGAAUCUCGGGCAAGUAACAUACCGAUGACAAAGGGAACAACGUAUGUUGUUAUGCGGUUUGACCGAUAAAGAUCUUCAUAGAAUAUGUAGGAGCCAAUAUGAACAUCCAGGUUCCGCUAUUGGUUAUUGACUGGAGACGUGUCUCGGUCAUGUCUACAUAGUUCUCGAACCCGUAGGGUCCGCACACUUGACGUUCAGUGACGAUCGGUAUUAUGAGUUUAUGUGAUUUGAUGUACCGAAGAUAGUUAGGAGUCCCGGAUGAGAUCGGGGACAUGACGAGGAGUCUCGAAAUGGUCGGGACGUAAAGAUCGAUAUAUUGGACGACUAUAUUCGGACAUCGGAAAGGUUCCGAAUGAUUCAAGUAUUUUUCGGAGUACCGAGGAGUUACGGGAAUACGGGGAAGAAGUAUUGGGCCUCAUGGGCCAAGUGGUGGAAGAGAGGAGGCAGGGCGCGCGGCCCCCCUAGCCCAAACCGAAUUGGACUAGGGGGUUGGCCCCCUUUCCUCCUUUCCUCCCUCUCCUUCCUUCACCCCUUCCCCCUUCCUUUCCUCCUCCUAGUAGGAGUAGGAAAGGGGAGUCCUACUCCUACUAGGAGGAGGACUCCUCCUGGCGCGCCCUACAGGGGUCGGCCGGCCUCCCCCUUGCUCCUUUAUAUACGGGGGCAGGAGGGCACGCUAGGACACACAAGUUGAUCAUUGAUCCCUUAGCCGUGUACGGUGUCCCCCUCCACAAGAAUCCACCUCGAUCAUAUCGUAGCAGUGCUUAGGUGAAGCCCUGCGUCGGUAGCAACAUCAUCACCGUCAUCACGCCGUCAUGCUGACGGAACUCUCCCGUGAAGCUCUGCUGGAUCGGAGUUCGUGGGACGUUAUCGAGCUGAACGUGUGCUGAACUCGGAGGUGUCGUGCGUUCGGUACUUGGAUCGGUCGGGUCGUGAAGACGUUCGAAUACAGCAACCGCAUUCUCAUAACGCUUCCGCUUACGGUCUACGAGGGUACGUGGACGAUACUCUUCCCUCUCAUUGCUAUGCAUCACCAUGAUCUUGCAUGUGCGUAGGAUUUUUUUUUGAAAUUACUACCUUCCCCAACAGGUCCGUCAUGCAAAAGUCAGGGGCUAGGGUAAUUUUAUGUUUCUGCUGGAAAAUAUAACUGCUCUCUAUUUUAAUAUAAUAGUGUUGGUUCCUUGAAGGCCCUUCUAGUGUUCAAAAACAUAUUUGCACUUUUUUGCGGAAAUAAUUCUUGUAUUACUUAAUCAAAGUACAAUCACGCUUAACAGCGUCUAAAAUGACCUCUGGUCCCGACCCAAGCCAUACAGCAGUUCGGCCUUGAGUCCUCCUAAAGUUUGCCAAAACAUGACUAGAGGAAUUACAACCACGACGGAUGUGAGUAAUACAAGAACUACGAUUCAGACAUGUUUUCUUUUAUCUCUCUAACAAGAAAUGUGUAUCUUGAUCUAUUUGUGUCUCCAUCUUCAACAUAUUAACAGCCUCCAAAUUGUCACUUUCAAUGUCAAUUGGUAGAUUGCUCCACUAUAGGGCUAGCAUGAGUCCCUCCCGGAUAGCUAAAAUCUCAGCCUCCAACACAUCAUUACAUGAAAAAAGGUGCCUACAGGAGCUGAAAAUAAUACCACCGGAGUGGUCAUGAAGUAUCAUACCUGUACCACCAAACCCAUCCAAUAUGGAGCCAUCUGUAUUUAGUUUAACACGUCCAGCAACAGGAGGUGACCAAGGGACAGGGGUAGUAGUAUUAUCGGAUGUGCGUAUUACCAGUGGGUAGCAGAAUUGAACUGGGGAUUUUCCCUUAAUAUGAUCAUCAUUUGGGCAUGUUGCAACAGACUGUAAGGAGGAUAGAUAGCUGGAUAGAAACCUGACAGAGACAUCCACAGGGGGCGGACUUUGAGUGCACUAUCUCAUUUCGAACAUACCAGAUUCUCCAGAAGAGCAUAAGAAGUCGAACCCUUGUUGAUUCAUCUAACUCACAAAGCAGCUGAAUAAACCAAUCUGGACCAGUGGGCUUGAUCGAUACAACAUCAGGUAAAGUCCAUUCUGAAGCCAUUGCCCGCCAUAGUGUUCUUGCAUUUAUACAACUACAGAAUGUAUGGAAGGAGUCUUCCUCACAUGCGCUGCAUAUAGGACAUAAGGCACUGGGUUAAAACUUCCGUUUGUUUUUGUUGCACCACGUAGCAAGGGAAUUAUUUGCUAGGCGCCAACCGAAGCUCAAUACCUUUGGCGGUGCACUGCAAGACCAUAGGGCCUUCCAACCGUCACGUCGGUCGUCCGGGUGGUGGCUUGAGGAGGUCACGGGCCCAUUAUGAAGAUCAUCCGAAGCCAAACGGUACGCACUUCUCACACUGAAUACACCCGAUUUUUCUUGGGCCCAUGUUAUGUGCUACCUCUUGAGCACUCCGUUGGAUUUCCAUGAAGAGAAAAUGAUGAUGCAGCAAAGUAGCAUAAGUAUUUCCUCAGUUUUCGAGAACCAAGGUAUCAAUCUAGUAGGAGGUUGCGCGCGUGUCCCUAGUACCUGCACAAAACAAAUAACUCCUCGCAACCAACGCGAUAAGGGGUUGUCGAUCCCUUCACGGUCACUUACGAGAGUGAGAUCUGAUAGAUAUGAUAAGAUAAUAUUUUUGGUAUUUUUGUGAUAAAGAUGUAAAGUAAAAUAAAAGCAAAGUAAAAAGGCAAAGGAAAUAACUAAGUAUUGGAAGAUUAAUAUGAUGAAGAUAGACCCGGGGGCCAUAGGUUUCACUAGUGGCUUCUCUCAAGAGCAUAAGUAUUUUACGGUGGGUGAAUGAAUUACUAUUGAGCAAUUGACAGAAUUGAGCAUAGUUAUGAGAAUAUCUAGGUAUGAUCAUGUAUAUAGGCAUCAUGUCCGAAACAAGUAGACCGACUCCUGCCUACAUCUACUACUAUUACUCCACUCAUCGACCGCUAUCCAGCAUGCAUCUAGAGUAUUAAGUUCAUGAAAACAGAGUAACGCCUUAAGUAAGAUGACAUGAUGUAGAGGGAUAGAUUCAUGCAAUAUGAUAAAAAACCCAUCUUGUUAUCCUCGAUGGCAACAAUACAAUACGUGCCUUGCUGCCCCUACUGUCACUGGGAAAGGACACCGCAAGAUUGAACCCAAAGCUAAGCACUUCUCCCAUUGCAAGAAAGAUCAAUCUAGUAGGCCAAACCAAACUGAUAAUUCGAAGAGACUUGCAAAUAUAACCAAUCACACAUAAAAUAAUUCAGAGAAGAUUCAAAUAUUGUUCAUAGAUAGUCUUGAUCAUAAACCCACAAUUCAUCGUCUCAACAAACACACCGCAAAAAGAAGAUUACAUCGAAUAGAUCUCCACAAGAGAGGGGGAGAACAUUGUAUUGAGAUCCAAAAAGAGAGAAGAAGCCAUCUAGCUAAUAACUAUGGACCCGAAGGUCUGAGGUAAACUACUCACACUUCAUCGGAGAGGCUAUGGUGUUGAUGUAGAAGCCCUCCGUGAUGGAUUCCCCCUCCGGCGGAGCUUCGGAAUAGGCCCCAAGAUGGGAUCUCAUGGAUACAGAAAGUUACGACGGUGGAAUUAGGGUUUUGGCUCCGUAUCUGAUCGUUUGGGGGUACAUAGGUAUAUAUAGGAGGAAGGAGUACAUCAGUGGAGCAACAGGGGGCCCACGAGGGUGGAGGGCGCGCCUGGGGGGGUAGGCGCGCCCCCUACCUCGUAGCCUCCUCUGUUUCUUGACGUAGGGUCCAAGUCUCCUGGAUCUUGUUCGGUGAGAAAAUCACGUUCCCGAAGGUUUCAUUCCGUUUGGACUCCGUUUGAUAUUCCUUUUCUUCGAAAACCCUAAAAUAGGCAAAAAACAACAAUUCUGGGCUAGGCCACCGGUUAAUAGGUUAGUCCCAAAAAUAAUAUAAAAGUGGAUAAUAAAGCCCAAUAAUGUCCAAAACAGUAGAUAAUAUAGCAUGGAUCAAUCAAAAUUAUAGAUACGUUGGAGACGUAUCACUAUGAAGUCCUCGCCAAGACAGUGAGAGGGGCGAAUUUUCUGGAUCUCACAAAUGUCGAUUGGGAGAAAGAAUUGCUGGAGUUUAGAGUUAUCCCAAUUUCCAUUGUGGUCCAUAAGCUCGGAAACCCAUUUAAAUCUACAAUGUCCUUUGGGCGAUAUGAGUCCACCAGUAGGAUCCCUUACAAUCCAUCUAUCACGCCAAAUUCUAACAUUUUCGCCAUUUGCGAUCCUCCACACGAUCCCUUUCUUUAGCAGUUCAAGGCCAUGACAUAUUGCCUGCCAAGUAGGAGACGGGUUACCCGUAAAAACAGUAUCUUCCAACCUCCCAUUUGGAUAAUAUCUUGCUUUCAGUAGCCUGACACAGAGAUUGUCGGGGCAAGUUAGGAGACGCCACGCUUGGCGUGCUAACAAAGCUUGAUUAAAUAAUCUAAAAUCUUUGAAGCCCAAACCUCCUUGGCACUUUGGCCUAGUCAUUUUGUCCCAUGCAUACCAAUGCGUCUUAUGCUUUCCUUUCUCUGCACCCCAAAAAUAGUUCCUGACCAUGCAGUUAAGAUCAUCACAAACCUCGAAAGGUAGCUUUAAGACACUCAUUAAAUAAUUGGGGAUUGACUAUGCAACGGCUUUGAUUAGCACCUCCUUGCCAGCCUGAGUUGGGUGGCCAUCAAAAUAAAAUAGACGCUUUGUAAGUUUAACUUGGAGGUUCUGGAAUUUACCCUUGGACAUUCUCCCAUCCGGGGUCAGCAGUCCAAGGUACUUCUCCUCAAAACCAACAGUUUGGACAUCAAUAGCAAGCUUAACCGAAUCCACAGUGAUCUUAGGGCAGGAGUUACCAAAUAAAACAAAGCACUUUGCAGGGUUAAUAUGUUGACCUGUGGCAUGUCCAUAAACUUCCAGCAUAUUUUUAACCCGGUUGGCUUGUUGGUCACAAGCUUUGAAAAAGAGCAAAGUAUUGUCUGCAAAUAACAAGUGAGAGAUGCCUGGGGCCCUUCUUGUGAUUUUCAAAGGAGAGAUGUCGCCCACUUCAAUUCCUUUACUUAUCAGAGCAGACAAACCAUCAACAACAAGCAGAAACAAAUAUGAGGAUAGUGGAUCACCUUGCCGAAGACCAUGUGUCGGUGCAAAAGAAUCCAAGAUGGCGCCAUUGAAUUUCAUGGAGUAUCUCAUAGAGGUCACACAAGUCAUUAUCCAGUCGACCCAUUUGCGAGCGAAGCCAAGCUUUUGCAUCAUUUGCCUAAGGUAUGUCCAAUCAACCCGAUCAUAAGCUUUUGAGAGAUCAAGCUUGUAAGCACAGAAACUCCUAGUCGGGUUGUCGGUGUCAAAACUGGCGGAUCUCGGGUAGGGGGUCCCGAACUGUGCGUCUAGGCCGGAUGGUAACAGGAGGCAGGGGGAACGAUGUUUUACCCAGGUUCGGGCCCUCUUGAUGGAGGUAAAACCCUACGUCCUGCUUGAUUAAUAUUUAUGAUAUGGGUAGUACAAGAGUAGAUCUACCAUGAGAUCAGAGAGGCUAAACCCUAGAAGCUAGCCUAUGGUAUGAUUGUAUGUUAUGGUUGUUGUCUACGGACUAAAACCCUUCGGUUUAUAUAGACACCGGAGAGGGUUAGGGUUACACAAGGUUGGUUACAAAGGAGGAGAUAUCCAUAUCCGUACUGCCUAGCAUGCCUUCCUCGCCAAGUAGAGUCCCAUCCGGACACGAGACGAAGUUUUCAAUCUUGUAUCUUCAUAGUCUAAUAGUCCGGCCAAUGAAGAUAGUCCGGCUGUCCGAAGACCCCCUAAUCCAGGACUCCCUCAGUAGCCCCUGAACCAGGCUUCAAUUACGAUGAGUCCGACAUGCAGUAUUGUCUUCAGCAUUGCAAGGCGGGUUCCUUCUCCGAAUACACCGCAGACGAAUUUGAAUACGAGGAUAGUGUCCGACCUUGCAAAAUAAGUUCCACAUUCCACCAUAGAGAGAAUAAUAUUUUCGCAGAUCUAAUUUGCUGGCUUGUUUUGGCAGCAUGAUGUCACGUCAUGGCCCGGUGACUAUUCGAACCGUUUCUUUUAACCAGCCCCGCACAUAACGCGAGGCAGUUUUUCGACACGUCUUGUCAAAGCAGAGAUCGUGUCCCCUUAUUACGGGAUUCUCAUCAAUACGGGCAUGGGUAACCCAACCAUGCCAUCAAUUGCGGCGCUUGGGGGAUAGGCGAGUUUUACCAGGCAAGUGGGAACGCUUAGUUUCGUCCGCCCAUAUAAAGGGAUAAGGAUUCACCUUUCUAUCCACGCCUUCUUCCUCCUUUGCUCAUCCGUUCUCGCACACUCAAGCUCUAGCGCCCAAGUCCGGACUUCCCACCUUGACCUUCUCCAGUCAUGUCCAGAGCGGGAGGCAAGUGGAUGGUCUGCUCCGUCACGGAGGGAGACAUCAAGAAACUGAGGAGAGCCGGAUACCUGCCCGACAACAUCGCGCACCGGCUCCCAGAUGAGGGGCAGCUCAUCCCCACCCCCAGGCCCCAUGAGAGGGUAGUAUUCCUCACCCAUUUCCUCCGUGGACUGGGGUUCCCUCUCCAUCCCUUCGUCCGGGGGCUCAUGUUUUAUUAUGGCCUGGAUUUCCACGAUCUGGCCCCGAACUUCAUCCUCAACAUCUCGACGUUUAUCAUCGUGUGCGAGGCCUUCCUCCGCAUCAAGCCUCACUUCGGCUUAUGGCUGAAGACCUUCAAUGUCAAGCCGAAGGUGGUGGGUGGCCGCCAGGCGGAGUGCGGAGGCGCCAUGGUGGGCAAGAUGCCCAACAUAACAUGGCUCGAGGGCUCCUUUGUGGAAACCAUAAAGGGGUGGCAAUCGGGGUGGUUCUAUAUCACCGAGCCGCGCGACCCCGCAUGGGUAGCGGCCCCCGAGUUCGGAUCUGGCAUCCCCAUGCGGCUCACCUCCUGGAAAGAGAAGGGCCUGUCCUGGGGUAAUUCGAAAGAGCUGACCGGACUCCAAACAUGUAUUCAAAACAUGGUGGACAAGAAGCUCAAGCUUGUCAACAUAGUCCAAGUUAUGCUCAUCCGUCGGAUACUCCCGUGCCAACAACGGGAGUUUAACUUGUGGGAGUUCAAUCCGGCGCAGCACCGAACUCUGAACAUGCUCUUUGACACGACUCAUGAAGACGCCUGGAGGGUGCUGUUCAAAAGUGCCGAGGUCCCUCCCCCUAUUACUGAGGAUCGCGGAUUCAGCGCGAAGUGCCAAGCUAGUGCGGUAAGCUGUUUUACCUUUCAUAGGAUAAUUAUUUUUUAUAUAGAUUGUCUCUAUGCGGGAUCUAAACUCCCGUACCUUUGACAGGACUGGCAGAAGAUGGCCGGACAGAUCGACUGUCCGGCUCCCUUGCCCAAAGGCCCCGCACAUGCUCUUCUGGCAAAGAUGCUGACUCCGGCCCCUUAUAAGGUGUCGGAGAAGACCAAGAAGGCCAAGGGAACCCAAAAGAGUUCCCGACGCCAGGCGUCGUCGGACUCACUGUCCGAUGAUUCUGCGGCACACUCUUCCCCUAAAGACAAGGAAAAGGAAGAAGAAGAUGCUCCCCCACCGACUGGGGGAGACAAGAAAAGGAAGGCCGCCCCAACUGGGGAGGCCGGAGGGUCCAAGAAGGGAAGGACUCUCCUUCCGGAUAGUUCCACCGCCGCCGACGAAGGCGAAGGCGAGUGGUUGCCCAGGGUCAAGUCCUCGGGGAGAUCAUAAGUAUUCGGAUACCAGAGUAACUCCUAGGAUUCCUUUGUCGCACUGCUUUCUCUAACGCCGAACGCAAUUAUGCCGGCCGCCACGAGCCAGUAUCGAUGUAUCAUCGGACGGCUCCUUGGGCUUGUCGGACAUGGAUAGCGAUCCAGUCCCGACCGCCACCUCCUCUCAUCCUGCCGACGACGCCGAGGUGCUGUCUCAAGAGGCACCGGAUCAAGGGGAGACAGUCCUGGAGGCGCCUCAAGGUGACCUACCGGACUCAGGGAGCCGCGGGGACGGGGCCCCCGAGAGCUCCGAGUUCGGCCCUCAGCCGAACACCGUGCCAGACCCUCCAGCGAUUUCGGGCUCGGGCAGGCGGUCUCCUUCUAAGAGGGGCAAGAUGCCUAUGCCGGUGACCUCUGUCCAUCCAGAGGCACCGGACAAUCUGCUGGAAGCGCUUCGCAGCGCUUCCAUCGACGAGGAGCAUCGCACUAUCAUGAGUGCGGUGAUCCAGAAGGUUCAGUUUGCCAAGAGCGGAUUGACGGAAGCCUGUGCCAGCCUUCUAACAGGCUUUGAGGUAAGUGUUUUAAAAUGUAGUAGAAAUAUUACCGCAUAGACAGUAGCCCCUGAUGCUUUGUUCGGUGUUCAUAAAGAAAAGCCGAACAGAGGAUCAAAUAAUAUCGCAGGAGUCUAAUAUAAGUAUGUCAAUAUGCAUAUGCAGGCUUCGCUGCUGGCGUCCGCCGCACUAACUGCGGAGGUCGCCGUACUGAAGCAGGACCUCGAGGGGUCCAAGAAAGAGCUCGGCCUGGCCAAGAGGCAGCUCGAGGAGAACAAGGGAAGUAAUACCCCGUCUAUAGAUAUGUAUAUAUAAAAAGGGACGCGAUUGCAAAAUGAUAGGAUCAUUGUAUGUCUGCCAAGGGCCACGACCGAGGUGGCGACCCUGAAGCAAGCGCUGGCCAAGGCCGAAGAUACAGCGGCCAAGGAGCGCACCGAGCGAGAGAAGCACGAGGCCUGGGUGGGCGAGGUGCAGCAAGAGCUCCAGGCUCUUGUGGCGAAGCAUGAGGCGUUGGAGCUUGACUCCAAGACGCGGGAGUCUGAGCUUGCCGCGGCCCUCGAGAGUGUAAAAGGUGCCAAGGCUGAAGCCCAAAAGGCCCUCCAAGAGAUCGACGCAAUGAAGAAGAUAGCUACGGGUAAGGCUUUCUAUAUGCAAAGCGAGCAUGUAAAAGUAAAUUACCGAUUACUUACCCGGAUCUGGAGCUCUUCAGGAGCAUUCGCAGAUUUGCCCCGCAGUGUGUCUGAUGCCGCAUAAUUUUACCAGGCCGAGGACGGGAGCUCGACGGAGAAGCUGUUCUAGUCUCAGUAUGCUGAGGCCGAACAUCUGGUGCCAAUGAGCGACCAGCUGAAGCAGAUGGUCGAGCUACAUAAGGCGGCCGAUCAGGCCAUGAAGAGCUUUAUAGUCCGGUUGUGGCCUGGCGACGCCCUUCCGAAUAGCUUCUUCGGCCUGGUGAUGCGGCUCGUGGGUGUCUGCCCACGGCUGGAGGUCGUCAAGCGAUCUGUCUGCAUUGAAGGUGCACGCCGGGCUUUCACCCGUGUGAAAUUGCAGUGGGUCAAGCUAGAUGCUGUGAAGCUGAUCAAGGAGGGGCUGCCAGAGAGCAAGGAGCACCGCCACCCCGAGAUGUACUACGAGGGUGUUCUGUCGGGCGCCCGUCUCAUCACUGACGAGUGUUCGAAAGAUGUAAUAUUUGAAUGAGACUCGCUCGUUUUAUCAUGUAUGUAUGAAAACUUGUUUCAUAUGCGCUAUGCAACGCUUGUUGGAAUUUAAAAUAUUACCUUCUGUUUGGCUAUUUAUCCAAUCUGAGAGAUGGCUAGUCCUCGGCUUCUGCCCCCAUGCCACGGGUACUGGGGUGUUCGGGAUAAACCUUAGCACUCUUGUUCCCAUGUUUGGGUCCUUCGAGGGAGGUGCUCAGCACAACGAACAAGGCAACCAGACUAAUAAUGCUUUAUCACUCUCAUUUAGCCAUAGAAUUCUAUAAUUUUAACUUUUGGCGAAGCCCCUGGUAUUCGGAAGGCCGAAUUCGGGGCGCGAUACACGCUUGUAAGCCGGACAGGGCCGGCCCCUCGCCCUAAGCGGCAUAAGUCUUUAGGGACUCGAAAAACCUCGCCGAACAGCGACCAGUCUCUCGCCUUAUCAUGACAGUCAGUUUUAGCUUUCUCUAAAGAGGUGCACAACCCAGCAGAACCGGGGCACAAUCGCAGUAGUUCUCCUAGCGCUACCUUAGCCGAUAGAGCAGAACGUAAGGUACCAAAACAUAGGAGCCGGGCAAACCCAACAUUUGACCAAAGACAUGAUUCGGAGCUGAUGCAUAUAAUGCUAUAAGUUUGGGGUGCCGCACUUGUGAAAGUGUUCGGACUUUUCACACCGCAUUGUGGGGUACGUAAGCCCUUGGUGUAUUGGCCGUACCAGAAUGUACGGUUGCAAGGCAUCAUUAAUGAACACACACACACACACACACACAUAUAUAUAUAUAUAACAAGAAUGCAAUAAUAGUCGUAAUGUCAUGCAUUGUUUAUUGAAAAAUUGUGUUAAAGCAGAGUGAUACAGAUAGUGCGAUAAGCAAAGAGUAGGACUAUGUCCCUUCCAAGGGCGAACUAAGGAAUGAUAUGAAAUCUGUAAUCAACCUGGGAAUUUCGUUGUAUAACAUAGCUGUCUGCCUCCUUGGUUGCUGCAUCAUGUGUUCGGCAAUAGUGCUGCCGGACAGUGUUUCCAGAGAUUAAGGUCCUGAAAGAAAAAGAAAAAGAACCAAACGGGAAGCCCCUAGUGCGGUUUAGGCCGCGUUUUGGGGCGUGUCGCAGUUGUGCCCCCUCCCCACCUGUGCCCAUGGUAUUUUUAAUGUGUAAUUAUGUACGCGCGGCACGAAUAUCGCCGUUGGGCUGGGAUUGGGGUGGCCGCCGUAUUGCUACGCGAGCUCAGAUCGCGCCAGGCGGUCUAUUUGCCGAUUGCCCCAAGCGCGCUUGAAGGUGUCCGGGCUUUGAAAUGCCGAACUGGUUGAUUGCCUUGAGAGGCUGCUUUGCGCUUCUGCUGCGAGGGCCGCGGUGUGCUCCUCUGUUCGGAGAGAGCGCUCUGUGUUUCCAUUGACUAUAAUAACUCCGCGAGGUCCUGGCAUCGUGAGCUUGAUGUAUGCAUAAUGCGGUACCGCAUUAAAUCUAGCAAAUGCGGUUCACCUGAGCAGCGCGUGAUAACCACUGUGGAACGGGACUAUAUCGAAGAUUAACUCUUCGCUUCGGAAGUUAUCCGGGGAUCCGAAGACCACUUCCAGUGUAAUUCAGCCUGUGCAAUGGGCCUCUACGCCUGGAAUGACGCCCUUAAAGGUCGUUUUUGUGGGUUUGAUCCUUGAGGGGUCUAUACCCAUUUUGCGCACUGUGUCCUCAUAAAGCAGGUUCAGGCUGCUGCCGCCGUCCAUAAGGACUCGAGUGAGGUGAAAUCCGUCGAUGAUUGUGUCUAGGACCAGUGCGGCGAAUCCGCCAUGACGGAUACUAGUGGGGUGGUCCCUGCGAUCGAAGGUGAUCGGACAGGAGGACCAAGGGUUUAACUUUGGGGCGACUGGCUCCAACGCAUAUACGUCCCUGAGCGCAUGCUUCCGCUCCCUCUUGGGGAUGUGGGUUGCGUAUAUCAUGUUCACCGUCCGCACUUGCGGGGGAAACCUCUUCUGUCCUCCAGUGUGCGGCUGCCGGGGCUCCUCCUCAUCAUCGCUAUGUGGCCCCUUGUCCUUGUUUUCGGCAAUUAACUUGCCGGCCUGCUUGAACACCCAACAAUCCCUGUUGGUGUGAUUGGCUGGCUUGUCUAGGGUGCCGUGUAUUUGACACGAGCGAUCGAGUAUAUGGUCCAAGCUGGAAGGACCCGGCGUACUUUGUUUGAAUGGCUUUUUCCGCUAACUGGGUUUAGAGCCUUUGAAUCUGGCAUUGACUACCGUAUCCUCAGUAUUUUCGCUGUUAAUUCGGCGCUUAUGCUUGUUGCGACGUGACCUGCUAUUGCCGUCCUUGGUAUCUGAGGUACCAUGGUUCUUUGAUAUGUUAUUACUGCGAGCCAGCCAGCUGUCUUCUCCCGCACAAAAGCGGGUCAUGAGCGUCGUGAGAGCUGCCAUAGAUUUCGGCUUUUCCUGACCAAGGUGUCGGGCUAGCCACUCGUCUCGGAUGUUGUGCUUGAAAGCCGCUAAGGCCUCCGCAUCCGGAUAGUCGACGAUUUGAUUUUUCUUUGUAAGGAACCGAGUCCAAAGUUGCGUGGCCGACUCUUCUGGCUGCUGAAUUAUGUGGCUUAAAUCAUCGGCGUCUGGUGGUCGCACAUAAGUGCCCUGAAAGUUGUCGAGGAAUGCGGCUUCCAGAUCUUCCCAACAGCUAAUGGAGUCCGCUGGCAAGCUAUUAAGCCAAUGCCGCGCUGGUCCUUUGAGCUUUAGUGGGAGGUAUUUGAUGGAGUGUAAGUCAUCGCCGCGGGCCAUGUGGAUGUGGAGGAGGAAAUCCUCAAUCCAUACUGCGGGAUCUGUUGUGUCGUCAUAUGAUUCGAUAUUUACAGGUUUGAAACCUUCUGGGAAUUGAUGUUUCAUUACUUCGUCUGUGAAGCAUAAGGGGUGUGUGGCGCCUCUGUAUUGGGCUAUAUCACGACGUAGCUCGAAUAGGUCUUGCCCGCUGUGUUCGGCCCGAUCGAAUUUGCUUUUACUGUAUCCGGCGUGACGUUUGUCGUCUCGCAGAGUGGUGCGCCCUCGUGAUCCGUAGAUCAGUCUUGAAUGCUUUGCCUUGUCCUCCAAUAUGUCUCACAGGUCUAGCGUAUCUCCCCAUGCCUUUUUAUUUGAAUGGCAUUGGGGGGAGGCUGAGCUUUUGGCUGGAAUGCCUCUCUAUCACGGCCACGAGGUGGCCGAUCAGUCGUAUCAUACGCUUCUUCCGCCAGUCGGGGUAGUAACCGCGCCUUGGGUAACUCUUGGAAGGACGCUCGAGUUUAUAUUCCUCGGCUGCGAGGACUUCAGUCCAUUUGUCAGCUAGCAGAUCUUGAUUAGCUUGAAGCUGCUGCUGCUUUUUCCUCAGGCUAUUUGUCGUGGCGAUAAGCCGGCGCUUGAAGCGCUCUUGUUCGACGGGAUCCUCUGGUACGGCGAAUUCAUCGUCGCCGAGGCUUGCCUCGUCUUCGGAGGGGGGCAUGUGAUCAUCCUCCUCCUCUCCGUAUGCCGCUCUCUCAGGAGAGCUGGCUCCUUCAUCCUCCUUCUCUAAAUCUUGCUGGAGGGGAUUGUUGUUGUCUUCAGCACUAUCCGGGGUGUUAUUAUCUCCUGUGCCGGUAUCACCACUUUUGCUUUGGCGGGACUUAGAGCGGCGCCGCUGACGUUGGCGCUUGGGUUGCUUUUUGGAGGGGUCAUCCUCUGCUAUCUCGUCGCCAUUGCCUUCGUUGGGUGUAUCCACCAUGUAUAUGUCAUAUGACGAGGUGGCUUUCCAGUGCCCUAUAGGUGCUGAUUCAUGUUCGUCUCCUACAUCAUCGUCCAUAUCGUCGAUGUCUUCGGAGUCGAAGUCGAGCAUGUCGGUUAAAUCAUCGACAGUGUCUACGAAGUGGGUGGUGGGUGGGCGUCGAAUUUCUUCGCCGUCUGCAUCCCAAUCCUGUUGGCCAUAAUCCGGCCAGGGCUCUCCUAACAAAGAGAGAGACCUUAGUGAAUUCAGGAUGUCGCCAAAGGGCGAGUGCUGAAAGAUAUCCGCGGCGGUGAAUUCCAUGACUGGCGCCCAAUCGGAUUCGAUUGGCAGGGGCACGGAUGGUUCGGAGUCAGAAAAAGAGUCCGGCACCUUGGAGUCACGGGCUGCGCAGAGGAUUAUGCUGGUGUUUGGCUCGAUCAUUGUUAAGACUGCAGCCCCUGAGGCGGUGUCUAACCACCCGUCCUCGAUUGGCGCAGUUGGCUCCGAGCUAAGGGUCGGAGCUGAUGCGGGCGCGGCCUCUGGGGUACUGUUCGGCGGCAGAGCUAGGUCAUACCCAUCGCGAUAGUGCGGCGCGCCCGGCUGUGGCUCGAAUCCGUCGAAGAUCAAGUCUCCGCGGAUGUCGGUCAUGCAGUUCAAACUUCCAAAUCUGACCUGAUGGCCAGGGCGUAGCUUUCAAUCUGCUCCAGAUGGCCAAGCGAAUUAGCCCGUAGUGCAAAGCCGCCGAAUACGAAGAUCUGUCCGGGGAGAAAAGUCUCACCCUGGACCGCAUCGCUAUCGAUGAUAGUAGGAGCCAUCAAGCCUAACGGCGACGACACAAAGGAACUCUCAAUGAAAGCACCAAUGUCGGUAACAAAACCGGCGGAUCUCGGGUAGGGGGUUCCGAACUGUGCGUCUAGGCCGGAAGGUAACAGGAGGCAGGGGACACGAUGUUUUACCCAGGUUCGGGACCUCUUGAUGGAGGUAAAACCCUACGUCCUGCUUGACUAAUAUUGAUGAUAUGGGUAGUACAAGAGUAGAUCUACCACGAGAUCAGAGAAGCUAAACCCUAGAAGCUAGCCUAUGGUAUGAUUGUAUGUUAUGGUUGUUGUCCUACGGACUAAAACCCUUCGGUUUAUAUAGACACCGGAGAGGGUUAGGGUGACACAAGGUCGGUUACAAAGGAGGAGAUAUCCAUAUCCGUACUGCCUAGCUUACCUUCCACGCCAAGUAGAGUCCCAUCUGGACAUGAGACGAAGUCUUCAAUCUUGUAUCUUCAUAGUCUAACAGUCCGGCCAAUGGAGAUAGUCCGGCUGUCCGGAGACCCCCUAAUCCAGGACUCCCUCAUGGGUCUUUUUCCUGUUUGAUAUGAUGUAUGCACUCAAAAGCAAUCUGUGCAUUAUUAGUAAUCAUACGUCCUGGUAUAAAAGCACUCUGAGCAGGGGAAAUUAUAUCAUCCAGGACAGGUCUAAGCCUAUUGACCAGGCAUUUAGACACAACUUUGUAAAUAACAUUACAUAAGCUAAUAGGACGAAAAUCUGAAACCUUGUCUGGGUUAUGAAUUUUGGGAAUCAACACGAUUACUGUAUCAUUUACCUCUGGGGGCAUAACUCCUGUGUGAAAACAAUCCUUGACAGCGGCGAGAACACUGUCCUUGAGCGUAGACUAGUUCCGCUGAAAAAAGCGUGUCGGGAACCCGUCCGACCUAGGAGCCUUUAGGGGACCGAUCUGGAAAAGUGCAUCGGAGAUUUCUUUUUCAGUGAAUUCCUCACAUAACCUUUUAUUUGUUUCCUCUCCUACCAACGGUGCAAUAAGAUCAAUAAUAGGCGAUGCAUCCAGAUUACUAUCCACGGUGAAGAUAUCCUCAAAGUACCGAGUUGCAGCUACUCCCAUCGCUUUCGUAUCUAUGUGCAUCACACCAUUGGCAUCUUCUAGGUUUUUAUGCGGUUUUUCUUAGUUCGCCAAACAGACUUAGCAUGGAAAAAUCUUGUGUCGCGGUCGCCAUCCUUGAGCCAAGUGACACGUGCCCGUUGCAUCCACAUGAGCUCCUCUCUGUACAAUAAUUCAUUCAUUUUAUCAGCCACACUUCGUAUCUCCAUUCUAUCCGCAUUCAUCAGCAUAAGUUCUUCAAGUUGGGUGCGUGUUUUUUCUAUUUCCUUUACAAUGCUGCCAAAUUUUGUUUUACUCCACUGGCAUAAUUUACGCAUUGUAUCCCUUAAAGCUCCAUGCACAUCGCCUAACGAACUUUUUGUUCCAGCAGCCAACCAAGCUUUUGCAAUAACCUCCUGUAAUGCCGGUUCACGCUCCCACAUCACUUCAUACCUUCCGAUUCUUUGUUUGCAAGGCCGGUCCUCGAACUGCUCGCUAAAAACAUGAAGUAGCUCAUGGUCUGAACAUGGAGAAGUGAGGUGCGUGACCAGUGUCUGAUUGAAACAAUUUCUCCAUGUUGGGUUAGCCACAGCUCUAUCCAGACAAACUUUUACAUUUGUACUGCCAGCUCUCUUAUUAUCAUACGUAUAAGGCUCCAACAAAGCCUAAGUCAGUUAGUGCACAAAGCUCAAGGACAUCUCUGAAAGCUUGCAUUUGACUAGCUGCCCUUGGCGUGGCUGAAAAGUGCUUGAAAUCCCACAUACAUUCGUUGAAAUCACCACAUACAAGCCAAGGAAGAUCAUAUUGCGUGCUCAUACUCUGCAAAAGGGACCACAUAUUAUGACGGUCUUCUACCCUUGGCUCUCCGUAGACACAUGUUAGACGCCAAGGUGGGUCAUCUGGUCCUUCCCUCACAAGCGCGUCCAUGCAAUGUUAACUUGAGAAAACCACCUCAACAGAUAGGGAUUCAUGCCAAAAUAACGCAAGGCCACCACUAUUACCAAUACUAUCAACUGCAUCAAAACCUUGUAGUCCCAGCCGAACUUGGUACCUUUUCAUGCGAGUUUUAGACUGCCGAGUUUCACACAAAAACACCACUUUGGGGGAAUGCGACUGAACCAAAGUUGCCAAGUCAUGAACUGUCCGGGAGUUCCCCCCACCCCGGCAGUUCCAACUUAGAAGAUUCAUUUGUCCUGGUGGCGUUCCCCUUGGGAACCCGCCAUUGUGGACAAAGGUUUUGUUUUUGUUACAUUUUGAUCUGCUCUCAAUCUCUUUUGUUCCUGCUUUGAAGAAGGGCUGGGAGGAACUCUUUGUAUAGGAGCAGUUAGGAGGAGCUGGCCCUUGGCAACAACCAAAGAAGAAAUCUGCUCGCUGCUUGCUAAACCCUCUUCCUAAUAGCAUCCAGAUCAUCAUCUUUCCCAUCUUUCUUGCUUGCAUCAACAUCCAUUGCCUUGCCAUCACUUACCUCAGAAUUAUUUGCACAUGAGUCAUCAUCUGUAUUACGAUUUGCUCGUGCAGCUGAUCCCCAUGUAGCUCGUAAAUCUUUGAAGAUCAGAGCCGACACCGGGUGCACGCCGUCACCAUGUUCGGUGUGAAGAUGUCCGGUCAUACCACAAAAACCACACCAGUCCGGGAGGCGCUCAUACUUAACUAUGAAAAUCUCCCUUUUCCUCUUUCUCACAACAGAGACAUGGUUCUUCAAUUUGUUUCUGACAUCAAGAGUAAUUCUAACUCGAUAAAAGUUUCCAUCCACAUCUCUCCACUGUUAUCUAGGGAGUAGAACUCGCCCGCUGUUACUGCAAGAGCUUCAACCAGGGGCUCAAAGCCAUCAGGCAAAUCCAGAAUUUGCAUCCAAAUUCUAAAGCUAUAGAGAUCAAUGGAGGAAGGUUUUGUAAAUCCAUCAUAAGAAACCAUUAGAACUGGGUUACCACGGAAGGUCCAGGGCCCCCCCUCCAUUACCUUGUCCCAAUCUCCAAUACACGAGAAUUGCAUCGUAUACAUGCCAUCCCCAAGCGAUCUGAACCUAACAUCGUGUGCAAGAUCCUAGGCGCUACGCAUGUUCUUAUAGAACCAGAAGUCACCAAAUUCUUUUGUCGUAUGCACUCGCCCAAUCGCAAGCCAGCGGACAGCUUCAGUUACCGGCUUCAGGCAUACCUCCUUGUAGACCACAUCAACCAGAUCAUUGUCCUCAAUGCCCAAUUGUUUCAUUAGUUCCUGGAGAUCAUCAUCUCCAACCACCGACUCAGCCUCCACAGAUGCCAUGGUGAAAAAAGACCUAACCCUAGUUUACACGAGGGUCUGAGGGGGGUUCCAAUACACCGAUCCCGGGGGAGUAGCCAAGGCCGGGCGGCACCGCGAGGGUGCCCUUGAGUCAGCCCGAGUGCGAGCCCUGGUGGAGAACGGCGCGAUAGUGCAAACUUAGUGAUAUCUUAGAUUUAUGCAUGCCUGACUUGGUUACCAACAUUUUUUCCCAUGACCAUGUAUACCAUUCUGUUAGAAUCAACGAUACGUCUCCAAUGUAUCUAUAAUUUUUGAUUGUUCCAUGCUAUAUUAUAUUCUGUUUUGGACAUUAUUGGGCUUUAUUAUACACUUUUAUAUUAUUUUUGGACUAACCUAUUAACUGGAGGCCCAGCCCAGAAUUGUUGUUUUUUGCCUAUUUUAGGGUUUCACAGAAAAAGAAUAUCAAACGGAGUCCAAACGGAAUGAAACCUUCGGGAACGUGAUUUUUGGAACGAAUAUGAUCCAAAGGACUUGGACCCUACGUCAAGACAUCAACGAGGAGGCAGAUACGUCUCUGUCGUAUCUACUUUUCCAAACACUUUUGCCCUUAUUUUGGACUCUAACUCGCAAGAUUUGAAUGGAACUAACCCGGACUGACGUUGUUUUCAGCAGAAUUUCCAUGGUGUUAUUUAUGUGCAGAAGUAAAAGUUCUCGGAAUGACCUGAAACUUCACGGAACAUCUAUUCAGAAAUAAUAAAAAAUCCUUGCAAAAGAUGAAGACCAGGGGGGCCACCACCUGUCCACGAGGGUGGGGGCGCGCCCCCUACCCCGUGGCCCCCCUGGAGCCCCUCUGACCUCAAGCCCUAAAACCUCUCGGGAGGGCUGAUCUGGAGUCCGUUCGGUGCUCCGGAGAGGGGGAUUCGUCGCCGUCGUCAUCAUCAACCAUCCUCCAUCACCAAUUUCAUGAUGCUCACCGUCGUGCAUGAGUAAUUCCAUCGUAGGCUUGCUGGACGGUGAUGGGUUGGAUGGGAUUUAUCAUGUAAUCGAGUUAGUUUUGUUAGGGUUUGAUCCCUAGUAUCCACUAUGUUCUGAGAUUGAUGUUGCUAUGACUUUGCUAUGCUUAAUGCUUGUCACUAGGGCCCGAGUGCCAUGAUUUCAGAUCUGAACCUAUUAUGUUUUCAUCAAUAUAUGAGAGUUCUUGAUCCUAUCUUGCAAGUCUAUAGUCACCUAUUAUGUGUUAUGAUCCCUUAACCCCGAAGUGACAAUAAUCGGUAUACUUACCAGUGAUGACCAUAGUUUGAGGAGUUCAUGUAUUCACUAUGUGCUAAUGCUUUGUUCCGGUACUCUAUUAAAAGGAGGCCUUAAUAUCCCUUAGUUUCCAUUAGGACCUCGCUACGACGGGAGGGUAGGACAAAAGAUGCCAUGCAAGUUCUUUUCCAUAAGCACGUAUGACUAUAUUCGGAAUACAUGCCUACAUUACAUUGAUGAAUUGGAGCUAGUUCUGUGUCACCCUAGGUUAUGACUGUUACAUGAUGAACCGCAUUCGGCAUAAUUCUCCAUCACUGAUUCAUUGCCUAUGAGCUUUCAUAUAUUGUUCUUCACUUAUUUACUUUUCCGUUGCUAUUGCUAUCAUCAUUACAAAAUACCAAAAACAUUACUUUUUCUACCGUUACCACUACUAUCAUAUUACUUUGCUACUAAAUACUUUGCUGCAGAUAUUAAGUUUCCAGGUGUGGUUGAAUUGACAACUCAGCUGCUAAUACUUGAGAAUAUUCUUUGGCUCCCCUUGUGUCGAAUCAAUAAAUUUGGGUUGAAUACUCUACCCUCGAAAAUUGUUGCGACCCCCUAUACUUGUGGGUUAUCAAGACUAUUUUCUGGUGCCGUUGCCGGGGAGCAUAGCUCUAUUCUUUGAGUCACUUGGGAUUUAUAUCUGCUUAUCAUUAUGAAGAACUUGAGAGAUCCAAAAACCAAAAUUUAUCCCUCAACUACGAGGGGAGGUAAGGAACUGCCAUCUAGCUCUGCACUUGAUUCACCUUCUGUUUUGAGUAAGCUUGCGACACCUAAACCUGCUUCUGUUAUUCGUUCUGAUAUGUCGCAUGUUAUUGAUGAUGCCACUUCUGCUAUGCAUGAUACUUAUGAUGAAACUACUUCUAUGCUUGAUACUACUGUGCCACUUGGUGAAUUUCUUGAUGAACAACUUUCUAGGGUUAGAGAGAUGAAAAUAUUGAAUCUGAUAAUAUUGCUGAAAGUGAUGAUGAAGACUCACCUGUUAUUCCUGAGGGUUAUGUCUUUGAAAAAGAAGCUGCUCUAGCUAUUUUAGCUUGCAAAUAUAGAUACGAACUUAAGAGGUUAUUAGCUAAAUGGAAUAAGCAAUCUCUAAAUGCUAGGAUGAAACCUGACCUUGCUUUUGCUACUUCACCUAUCUAUGUUACUGAUAAGAAUUAUGAAUUCUCUGUUGAUCCUGAUAUAAUUACUUUGGUGGAAUAUGAUCCUUUUUCAUGGCUAUGAAUCUGAAACUGUUGUAGCACAUCUUACUAAAUUAAAUGAUAUAGCCACCCUAUUCACGAAUGAUGAGAGAACUCGUUACUUUUAUAUCCUUAAAAUAUUCCCGUUGUCAUUAAAGGGUGAUGCUAAGAUAUGGUUUAAUUCUCUUGAUCCUGGUUAUGUGCGUAGUCCCUAGGACAUGAUUUAUUACUUCUCUGCUAAAUAUUUCCCUGCUCAUAAGAAACAAGCUGCUUUAAGGGAUAUAUAUAAUUUUGUGCAAAUUGAAGAAGAGAGUCUCCCACAAGCUUGGGGGAGGCUUCUCCAAUUACUUAAUGCUUUGCCUGAUCAUCCUCUUAAGAAAAAUGAAAUACUUGAUAUCUUUUAUAAUGGACUAACCGAUGCUUCCAGAGAUUACCUGGAUAGUUGUGCUGGUUCUGUUUUCACGGAAAGAACACUGGAUGAAGCUGAAAUUCUAUUGAAUAAUAUGUUGACCAAUGAAAAUAAUUGGACACUUCCUGAGCCUAUUCCUAAACCAACUUCGAAGAAGAGAGGUGUUCUAUUUCUCAGUCCUGAAGAUAUGCAAGAGGCAAAGAAAAUCCAUGAAAGAAAAGGGUAUUAAAGCUGAAGAUGUUAAGAAUUUACCUCCUACUGAAGAAAUACAUGGUCUUAAUUUACCGCCUGUUGAAGAAACAUAUGACCUUAAUCCAUUACCUAUUAAAGAAACUCAUGGUCUUGAUAACCCGACACAGUUAGUAAAGUAAAUUCUCUCUAUGGAUAUGAUAAAGCUGAAAUCCCAUUUACUAAGUUUGCUAGCCCAUGCUUAGAUGAGUUUGAUAAAUUUAUGGCUAAGCAAGAAGACUUUAAUGCUUAUUUUGGUAGACAAUUGAAAUACAAUUCAAAUAUGCUUGAACACUUGGGUGAUUAUAUGGCUAAUGUUAAAGGUGAACUUAAACUUAUUAGUAAAAAUGCUUCUAUGGUUACCACUCAAGUAGAACAAGUACUUAAAGCUCAAAAUGAUUUGCUCAAUGAAUUGAAUAGUAAGAAUAAUGAUUAUGCUGUUAGAGUGGCUACUAGAACUGGUAGAAUGACUCAGGAACCUUUGUAUCCUGAAGGCCACCCUAAGAGAAUUGAGCAAGAUUCUCGAAGAAAUAAUGUAGAUACACCUAGUCCUUCUAAUAGGAAGAAAAAGAAAAAUGAUAGGAGUUUGCAUGCUUCUAGUAAACCUAUUACUGAAACACCUGAGAAUCCAAAUGAUAUUUCUAUCUCUGAUGCUGAAACACAAUGUGGUAAUGAACCUGAAACUAGUGAUAAUGUUAAUGAUAAUGUUCAUGAUGAUGUUCAACCUAGUAAUGAUAAUGAUAUAGAAAUUGAACCUGUUGUUGAUCUUGAUAACCCACAAUCAAAGAAUCAAUGUUAUGAUAAGAAAGACUUUGUUGCUAGGAAACACGGUAAGGAAAGAGAGCCUUGGGUUCAGAAACCCAUGCCUUUUCCUCCCAAACCAUCCAAGAAAAAGGAUGAUGAGGAUUUUGAGCGCUUUGCUGAAAUGAUUAGACCUAUCUUUUUGCAUAUGCGAUUAACUGAUAUGCUCAAAAUGAUUCCUUAUGCUAAGUAUAUGAAAGAUAUUGUUACAAAUAAAAGAAAGAUACCGGAAGCUAAAAUUUCCACCAUGCUUGCUAAUUAUACUUUUAAGGGUGGAAUACCAAAGAAACUUGGAGAUUCGGGAGUACCCACUAUACCAUGCUCCAUUAAAAGAAAUUAUGUUAAAACUGCUUUAUGUGAUCUUGGAGCCGGUGUUAGUGUUAUGCCUCUCUCUUUAUAUCGUAGAUUUGAUUUGAAUAAGUUGACACCUACUGAAAUAUCUUUGCAAAUGGCUGAUAAAUCAACUGCUAUACCUGUCGGUAUUUGUGAGGAUGUGCCUGUUGUGGUUGCAAAUGUUACUAUUUUAACGGACUUUGUUAUUCUUGAUCCCCGAGGACGAUAGUAUGUCUAUUAUUCUUGGAAGACCCUUUUUGAAUACUACAGGGGCUGUUAUUGAUUGCACUAAAGGCAAUGUCACUUUUCAUGUUAAUGGUAAUGAGCAUAUGGUACACUUCCCGAGGAAACAACCUUAAGUUCAUAGUAUCAACUCUAUUGGAAAAUUUUCAUCAAUUAUAUUUGGAGGUUUUGAAUUUCCUCUUCCUACUGUCAAGAAGAAAUAUGAUAUUCUUAUUAUUGGGGAUGUGCAUAUCCCCGUUGAGGUAACAUAGUGUUAUUCGAAAUUUCUCCGGUUCCAUGUUAUUCGGGAUGAGUUCGUUAACAAGACUUGAUCAACCUUGUUAGUGGAUUCCUUUUGAUGAGCAUGAGAUGGAUGAAACUAGAAGGCACAACCUUAUGUACCCCACUUUUACUUUCUGUUAUUUAUAUUAAAAAAUAAAAAUAAGUACUUUCUGUCUGUUAUCUGAAUAAUCCGUGCAAUAUAAAAAUACCCCAAAAAUAAAAGUUCUCCAAAUGCCCUGAAAUUUAAAUAUGAUUUUUUUCUGAAAUAUUUGAUAAUAUUUGGCACUGAGAACACAUCAGGAGGAGCUGGCACCUGGCCACGAGGGUCAGGGGCGCGCCCUACCCCCUAGGCGCACCCCCUGCCUCGUGGGCCCAUGGUGGCCCUCCUCCACUUAUCCUUUGACCCACACACUCCUUCUUCCUCCCACAAACACGAAUAUCCAGCUCAAACCCGAGUCCAAGCUCAUUUUGCUGCCAUUUUCGAUCUCCUUGCUCAAAGCACCUCUCACAAAACAGCUUGGGGAGAUUGUUCCUUGGUAUGUGACUCCUCCAUUGGUCUAAUUAGUUUUUGUUCUAGUGCUUUAUUCAUUGCAAAUUUAUGCUGCCUAGGUGACCAUGUUCUUGAGCUUGCAUGUCAAAUUUAUAUGGUUCCAAGUAGUUUUGAUGCAUGAUAUAGACUCUAGGCACUUGUAUGAGUAGUUGCUAUCAAUAUUAUUGAGUUUGGCUUACUUUUAUUUUUGAAGUUACUAAAAAUUUCAGAAAUUUUUAGAGGAAGAAAUAUGCUUAGGAAAAUGUACCAAGGUGGUUCUUCAAGGAAGCAAGGACCCAGGCUUGCAAUGCAUGAUGCUGAUGAAGAGCCACCAAGAGACGCUCCAGUGCGUCCUUGUGAAUGGCCCUCGGAAAACUUUAUGGAUCGAGCGGGAAUUAAGGAAGAAUUUAACGCAUAUUUGCGUAACGCCGAUCUUGUGAGCUUCGAGGAAGAAAAGUGCCGCCAGUACCACUAUCUCACUAGUACCUUUAUGAGGAGGUUUGAAUUUUCAUCUUCACGUAAUUCUCCAACUGUCCUGUUUGAUCUCUAUGAAAAAUCAUACACUAUGGACUUAGAGGAUUUUACCACUGCUUGCAAACUUCCACAAUGGGGUAGUGCUAGUGAACCCCGCAAAUCUGAAUUUGGAGACUUUCUUGCUAGCAUAACUGUGGGGGAAUCUAGAGAUAUAACACAAGCUACCAUAGGGAGCAUUCACUUUCCCGCUAUACAUUAUUUCUCUCUCUUCAUAGGUAGGUGCAUAAAUGGUAAAGAUGAAGCAUGUCAUAUGUGUGUUCCUGACCUCAAUAUUCUUAGGAGUGCUGCGUUAGGAGACAAAUCCUAUAAUUUGGGAGCCAUUGUUGCAUGUAGGUUGCAUCUUAAUAGAUUUAAUGGAGAUUUCUUUGGUGGAAUUUAUGCAACCCGCUUAGCUGAUUUUCUUGGUGUAACCAUACGUAAUGAUGAUAUUGAAUUGCCUCCUGCUUACCUAGACUUUAAUGCUAUGGUUCACCACCAGUUUGUUGAGAGGAAUGAAUCACCUCUCCAGUAUCGCUUAAUUUUUGACAGACGCCGUGUUGUCCGUAUUACUCUCCCUGCUCCUGCCUUCUUUGUUUAUCAGGCAAAAGGAAGAUAUGUUAUUACCAGAGAGGAGGCAGGUGAGUACGAGAGGAGGGCGGAGGCCGCUCGUCGCCAUGCUCCAACUCAGGAGGCGAUAGCCGCUGCAUCUCAGUAUGACCCCAACUUUUACUAUGGAUAUCAGCCAGGCCAGCCAUGGCCAUAGACCAACUUAGGCCAAAAGCCUAAGCUUGGGGGAGUACAUAUUUCUCACCGACAUUACAUUUAUGCUCACACACUCAUUGCUAGAUGUCGGUGCUCAUACUUUUUCAUUUGUAUCAUCCAUGCUAGUUUAUUUCCUUUUUAUGCUUUCUUCUUGUGUGUUUAAUAAACCUUAAGAAAAACCAAAAAAAAUAGUUGUAGCCUUUAAUUAGUUUACUUUCCAUGCUUGUAGUAGUAAUUAAAAAGAAAACCUAAAAAGAUUUUUUUGUUCUUCUUUUGCUUGUUGGGAGCUUUCCCGUGUAAAUAGUUUUAUUUCUUUUCUUUUCUUUGGGGGUCGAUAGGAGAAGACCAUAAUUAAAUUGUUGUAGUGGCUCUUAUAUGCAUUAUUGUUGAUCUGACAAAAGAGCCCAUAUUGCCUUGUCUUCUCCUGUUUGUUGAAUGCUUGCAGAUUCCAGCUUAGUCCAAUGCACGUGCACUACUAUUAUUAUUCACACUAUUCGGUCGUGCAAGUGAAAGGCAAUUAUGACGAUAUAUGAUGGACUGACUGAGAUGAGAAAAGCUGGUAUGAACUCAACCUCUCUUGUUUUUGUAAAUAUGAUUAGUUCAUCGUUCCUGAUUCAGCCUAUUAAUAAUAAACAUGUUUGCAAUGACAACUAGAGAUCAUAGUUUCUUGUGCCAUGCUUGAUUAGCUAGGAGCUUAUAAUGGUUUACCUUGCAUGCCAACAUGCUAUUAAAAUGGUUGUGAUGUGGUAUGAUAGCGUGGUAUCCUCCUCUGAAUGAUUUAAGUGACUUGACUUGGCACAUGUUCACGCAUGUAGUUGAAACAAAAUCAACAUAGCCUUCACAAUAUUUAUAUUCAUGGUGGAUUAUAUCCUACUCAUGCUUGCAUUCGGUGUUGAUUAAUUUUAAUGCAUGUUCAUGACUAUUGUCGCUCUCUAGCUGGUCGCUUCCUAGUCUUUUGCUAGCCUUCACCUGUACUAAGCGGGAAUACUGCUUGUGCAUCCAAUCCCAUAAACCCCAAAGUUACUCCACAUGAGUCCACUAUACCUUCCUAUAUACGGUAUUUACCUACCGUUCCAAGUAAAUUUGUAUGUGCCAAACUAUGACACCCCAAAAUUUUGGCCUUGUUUUGUUAAAUUAAAAUUUUUGCCAGGAAUUAAAACUUUGAUUUUUUUUGGACUCCCUUUUGAUUUUUUGAAACAUUUCCUUUCUUAUUAUCAUGGAGUUGUUCCCUAAAGUGAAAACCCUUCAAAUAUGUUAUUGGACUUGUUUAACCUCUCAAGAAAAACUUUUCUUUUAUCAGUAUAACUAAUUACCUAAUUAAAUUGCUUGAUCUUUAUUUUCUUGAAAAAUGGUUUUCCAAGGUUAUAUGGCCAUAAUUGAACUACAACCAUUUGAUAAAUUCACCUAAAAUUCCAACCAAAAUUUGGAGAUGUCAUGUGAUGUUUUUAAAUCACUUUUAUACAAAAAUAUCUUUUAUUCAUGUAAUAUUUUGAGCUCUGCAUCCAUUUUUCUUCUCUGGUCUAGAGUGCAAUUUUGCACUACAACCCAUUUAAAUAUUUCUCUCUGGCCUCCACCAAAAUUAGGGGAUGUUGGUAGUAGCAUAUGAUUCAACAUUAUGCAAAAACCUAGUGCUGUUCUUUGAAAUUUUUGAGUGAAUCAACCUCUUUUCCAUUCUGGUCUAGCCUAGGUGAUUUGCAAAGCAAGUACCUAAUUUCCUUUGAGUUUUGAUCUCAAACCAACUCCUCUGGAUAGUCCUUAGCACCCAAAACCUAGGACCAUCAAGAUCCACUCUUCUUCUUUCUAAAAUUUUCAAGUUUCAGCCUCUACAGGUUUGGACCAGAUUCGUCAAAUUUGGUGAAAUUCAUAUUUUCUCUUCUCCAAAAAUUCUACCAAAAUUCAGGCAACCUCCUAGUGCAAUGAGAGGCCACUCCACCAAGUUUCAGCUCAAGGAAAAAUCCCUUCAUGCCAAAAGCAUACUAUCGAACACCUGAAUUGCACUGUUUCUUUGCACUUUCAGAAAUUCAGUAAAGUUCAGAGUUUCAGUUUCGUCAGACUUCGGUCACGCGACCACAGUGCACCCUGGCGUGAUGCACACGGCCCCAUCCCCUUGGCCAGCACCCCGCACGCGCGCUUGGCGCCUUCCUGGCGUCGGUGGCGCCCUGGCCCGCCUGCGCCGGCGUCUCCCGCGGCGGCAGAGCCACCGUAGCGGCCGAUAGGGGGCAACACUACGGCAUAACGCCGUUCAGCACCGCCCAAACCUUCUGAGAGCUCCGCGUGGCCACCUCCUUACCAGCGCACGCAUGCAGCAUCGUCAUCGUGGCCUGGCACGCGCAGAGCGUGUUCUUUACCGCCGGCGUGCCAUGCGGCCGUUCCGUCGAGGGCAGGCCGUAAUCCUCCCUCCCUUGCUGAGUUGGACACUGGGAUGGCACCGCUGCUUCACCUAGACGAUGCUCAAGCCCCUAAGCCGACCGUCCACCCACAGCGCCGCCGUAAUCACCCGCCGGACUUAUCCGUUCACGGCAACCGCCUCGGGCCAUCUAUAUAUAGCCCCCCCGAGCUUGCUCUUGCCCCCGCACAACUCCACCACCUCGCCAGACCCCGCCUAGCCACUGAAGGAGCCUCGAGGAGCCUUUCUUCCUCGACUCCGGCCACCUCCGUCCGCCUCGGGCUCCGGUGACGUUCUCUUCAGUGAGGCCGUCCCCGGCGCCCAGACUCCGUCAAUCACCUCCUCUAGCUACCAGAGGCCUAACCCCCUCCUCAAUUUGCCCUUCGCAGCACUCUCCGGCGAGCUCCAUACACGCCCGAACCAUCGUCCGCCGGAGCAGGAGCCACCGCCGACGUGGUGCUCGCCGACCACCACCACCACCACCAACCGACGCGGAGUGAUUCCAUGAGCACGUUGGUAACCUCCGAUCCCCCUGCCUCGCCGUAGAUCGCCGCCGGGGAUCGCCGCGGCCCUCUAGCGCCAAAGCUCUGCUUCUGUUUUCAAACCCGACGGAUGGGUCCGCCCCGUCAGCCUUUUAUUCUUUUCAAAUCGUUUUCUGGAAACGCCUUCGGGCAAAAUACGCUUUCUCCACUGAACUGGCGUAUUCGGGACUGAAGCGUUUUCUGAUUUUAUAAAGAGAACCCUGGAAAGUUUCUGUUUCAUUACAGAAAAGUCCCUGGAUUAAAACUCUUAUAACUUUUAAACAGAAAAUGAUUUUUGAUUGAUUUUUUCUGUCCUCUUUAAAUUUUUGUCUAGUUUUUUAUCAUAUUUAUUUGAAAAAAAUUUGAACAAUUUUUUUGUGCUAUUUUGAAAUUGUGUGUUAAUUCAAAUUUAUUGAAAAUAGGAUUUUGGAGAGAGGAAGAAAACUUUCAAAAAGUUUUGGAGAGCACCCCCACCUCUCCACACCUUGAAGGCAAGCAUUCUGAACCCCGGCAUAAUAUUUUUGGUGUGUUAGUUGACACGUUUAUAACACCACCUUAUAUCGGAGAACUUGUUAUUUCAUGUGAUAUGAUCAAUUGCAUGAAGGCAUAUUAGUGAUUUCCUUGCUGUUGGAAAUGAAUAUACUUGUGAUGGUAAUCACCCUCAUGUGCCAUGCAUGCAUGCCGGAAAGGAAUUCGGGAAAGCCUCUGCCUUGGGUAGGAGUGAGCUUGUCGCCGGUCCCCGUCGGGACGGUUAUGUCCGGUAUGGCAUGGUAAGGUAUAUUGAGUGGUGAUUUUGUUGGUUGAAAUAUAUUUGUUAUACAUGUCAUGCAGGGAAUUUAUAAACCUCCCGAGUCGACCGUAGACCGAGUCUUGUUCCAGUAACCCCCAUACUUGCCUCGUACUACCACUUGUCUCUGCCGCAGGUAGGGUACGUUUCAGUAAGUCAUCAACCCCUUUCUAGCACACACCGUACAGAGAGGCCAUGGUGGAAGAUGUCGGUUGUAGACGGUAGGCAUACCAUCUAGUCAGGGGGCAUGGGUGUUUCCGGUUGGGACCGAGAGGGGAGGCCACCCCUUAGAGCGCGCGAUAUAAAUUUGAUCCCAUGCUACGCGAGGUUGUAGCCUCCCCACUUAGAGUUUUGCUUAACAAGUGUCGUGGGUGAUUCUAGACACCGCUGAGUUAAGCUGGUGUGUGCAAGUUAGGCGUGUUUUCAACUAAAAGCCCGUAGACGGAAUUAGUCCCGAUGGUCUAAAGGAAUCCGUUACUCGUGGGUAAAGAGUACACCCUCUGCAGAGAUUAAACCUAUUCGAAUAGCCGUGUCCAUGGUUAAGGAUUACAGUCUGGGAUGGGUCAAGUGUUGGUCUUAGUGUCGGUCUUCGGAGGAGAUAUUGUUAAACCAAACUUGGAUACCGACUAGUUACUUGUGAGGACCAUGAUUAUUAUUUUGUGAUGGACUAACCCGUUGCAUUAUUUAUAUUAUCAAGUAUCCCUGGGACGGUUCUACCUCCUGGAUAUUCAUUGUGAUUAUUUAUUUUAUAAGCUCUUUAUGUGGUGUCGCUCAGACGCCCGACUGUGGCAUUUCUUUUAAAGCCCUUUAUGUGGUGUCGCUCAGACGCCCGACUGUGGCAUUUCUCUUAUAAGCCCUUUAUGUGGUGUCGCUCAGACGCCCGACUGUGGCAUUUCUUUUAAAGCCCUUUAUGUGGUGUCGUUCAGACGCCCGACUGUGGCAUUUCUUUUAAAGCCCUUUAUGUGGUGUCGCUCAGACACCCGACUAUGGCAUUUCUUUUAAAGCCCUUUAUGUGGUGUCGCUCAGACGCCCGACUGCGGCAUUUUAUUCCCACUCCAUUACUACUUAUUCAUGUUGCAUGAAAAUAACCUGCUUGCAUGCAUAAAAGAUGUUUUAUUUAUGACUGACGAUGUGAUCAUAGAAUUUUUUUCAGUGCAUGAUUAUCAAUUAUAUUAUACCUGUGUUCUUAAUGUUUGCGAGUACAUUCAAAAGUACUCACUGGCUUGUCCCUGGCUAUUGUCUUGGCCAGAUUUCUGCAUGGAGAGGAGCGUUGCGGUGGCAGCCCCGGAAACUAAGCAACGGUGAUAGCAGCCUCGCGAGGAUAGGAGUUGACCUGGUCAGCUGUUCCUAUGGGAAAUGGAGUCCCAUAGACACUGACGACCCACAAACAGCUUCCGCCAUCAACCACUAGAAACCCAAUUGUUGUACUCACAGGCCAGAAUUGUCUUGUACUACAUAUGUUGUAUUUUGCUUGGAAUUUCUGUAUCAAGUUGGCGCCUCAUCAGCUAACAGUUAUCCUGGGGCUGGUGAGUACAACGGCCAUUUUCUGGAAUUUAAAACCCGGAAAACCGGUCGUGACAGACUUGGUAUCAGAGCCAGGCUGACCAUUGGCUAAUCCUAUCUUAGCCGGGUCUAUAAACUUAGGCAAACCAACCCACCAAACCAUAACCAAACCCCAGUCAAGCUUCUCGUGCAAGAUAGCCACACAGUAACCCAACACCUUUUGGCAGUCGGUGCCCAACCUAUCAACCUAACCUGUCGCUCAUGCGCCAGUGAUCGAAUCCUAAAUAGUCCUUUCUCGCAAACGUGCGAAGGAAGACUCCGUCCCCUUUUCCUAUAAAGAGGGGCACGCUAGCCCCAACACAACACAGCACAACCUCUACCCCAAACCAAGCUACAAUGCCUGGCCCUGUCGUGCACAAUGAGACCACGGCAACCAACCUUGGAGGCUUUGUGACCAUACUCGCAAACCUCACCCGUCGUGCCUAUGUGUUAGAAGAGCCCCCAGAAUAUGUUGUGUACCAAUGACCCAUGAGCGGUGAGAACCGUCAAUUCUGGGCCACUGUACACAUCUACGGUAGGGGUCUAGAGCCCGAGCACCCCUACAGGUUCACCGGAAGGACAACUUCCUUUGAAACUCAAGCCAUCCAACUAGCUGCUCGAGAGGCUAUAGUUCAUCUCCGGCACUUGUCGCCCAGAGUUAACUGUCGCUCGUUCCACUACUAUCCCAGACGUGAAGGGUAUGGUAGACCACCCCAAGUUGCCAACGGAGAUCACGAGACAGAUCCUGCAUUGUUGCACCUAGUGCGCUAUGUAAGUGCACUAGAGGAACUGUGCGAUCAAAUCACUAUUGAUCUAAUCGCAGCUCGUGGAGAGCUGGUUCGUCGAGCCCCGGCGAGAGAAGAGAACGAGCCUAACGCCGACAACCCAGUCGUGCUGUUUGGACACCCGAUCGAGUCCCUGAGGCCUGCCCCAGCCAUCGGCCAAGGUGCUACGAUAACCCCAGAGGUGCUUCAUCGCAUAUUGGGAGCACACAACCAACAAUCCCCGAGAUGGUCCUCAUCGCUACCCCGAGCCUGCAGCCCCUCAACCCACUCCAGCUAAUUCCGACGACGAGACCCGUGGAGGAGCCUCAUGGCACGCCCGCUUAGAUGUAAACGAGGUAGACUAAGUCACCCGAGUCGUAUCGAGUCCCAGUGUACCCUCGCUUUGUAAUCGUGUGGCCUUGUAAUUAAAUGCCGCCUGUUGUCGUGCCUCUGUUUUAAUAGUAGCCUUCCCUGGAUACGCCAGUAUGCAGUAUAAGAUUUCUAUCCCAGACACAGUUACCAAAAAAAAAA